CCUACGGGAGGCUGCAGUGAGGAAUAUUGGGCAAUGGGCGCAAGCCUGACCCAGCAAUGCCGCGUGCGGGAUGAAGGUCCUCGGAUCGUAAACCGCUUUUGUGGGGGAGUAGCAAGGAGAGUACCCCACGAAUAAGUCACGGCUAACUACGUGCCAGCAGCCGCGGUAAUACGUAGGUGACAAAUGUUAUCCGGAAUCACUGGGCGUAAAGGGUCUGUAGGCGGUUACUUAGGUCUGAUGUGACACCUCUCGGCUUAACUGAGAGAGCGCAUUGGAAACCGGGUGACUAGAAUCACGUCGAGGUCGGUGGAAUUCCCGGUGUAGUGGUGGAAUGCGUAGAGAUCGGGAGGAACCUCGAAAGCGAAGGCAGCCGGCUAGACGAUGAUUGACGCUGAGGGACGAAAGCGUGGGUAGCAAACAGGCUUAGAUACCCCGGUAGUC
rnacentral:rRNA from 1 species